rnacentral:rRNA from 1 species
GACAGAGGGUGCAAACGUUGUUCGGAAUUACUGGGCGUAAAGCGCGUGUAGGCAGCCCCGCAAGUCGGAUGUGAAAGCCCUGGGCUCAACCUAGGAAGUGCAUUCGAUACUGCGAGGCUUGAGUCCUGGAGAGGAAGGCGGAAUUCUCGGUGUAGAGGUGAAAUUCGUAGAUAUCGAGAGGAACACCGGUGGCGAAGGCGGCCUUCUGGACAGUGACUGACGCUGAGACGCGAAAGCGUGGGGAGCAAACAG